AGAGUUUGAUCCUGGCUCAGGAUGAACGCUAGCUACAGGCUUAACACAUGCAAGUCGAGGGGCAGCAUGAACUUAGCUUGCUAAGUUUGAUGGCGACCGGCGCACGGGUGAGUAACACGUAUCCAACCUGCCGAUGACUCGGGGAUAGCCUUUCGAAAGAAAGAUUAAUACCCGAUGGCAUAGUUCUUCCGCAUGGUAGAACUAUUAAAGAAUUUCGGUCAUCGAUGGGGAUGCGUUCCAUUAGGUUGUUGGCGGGGUAACGGCCCACCAAGCCUUCGAUGGAUAGGGGUUCUGAGAGGAAGGUCCCCCACAUUGGAACUGAGACACGGUCCAAACUCCUACGGGAGGCAGCAGUGAGGAAUAUUGGUCAAUGGGCGAGAGCCUGAACCAGCCAAGUAGCGUGAAGGAUGACUGCCCUAUGGGUUGUAAACUUCUUUUAUAAAGGAAUAAAGUCGGGUAUGUAUACCCGUUUGCAUGUACUUUAUGAAUAAGGAUCGGCUAACUCCGUGCCAGCAGCCGCGGUAAUACGGAGGAUCCGAGCGUUAUCCGGAUUUAUUGGGUUUAAAGGGAGCGUAGGCGGACGCUUAAGUCAGUUGUGAAAGUUUGCGGCUCAACCGUAAAAUUGCAGUUGAUACUGGGUGUCUUGAGUACAGUAGAGGCAGGCGGAAUUCGUGGUGUAGCGGUGAAAUGCUUAGAUAUCACGAAGAACUCCGAUUGCGAAGGCAGCUUGCUGGACUGUAACUGACGCUGAUGCUCGAAAGUGUGGGUAUCAAACAGGAUUAGAUACCCUGGUAGUCCACACAGUAAACGAUGAAUACUCGCUGUUUGCGAUAUACAGUAAGCGGCCAAGCGAAAGCGUUAAGUAUUCCACCUGGGGAGUACGCCGGCAACGGUGAAACU
rnacentral:rRNA from 1 species